rnacentral:rRNA from 1 species
GAAUCGCUAGUAAUCGUGGAUCAGAAUGCCACGGUGAAUACGUUCCCGGGCCUUGUACACACCGCCCGUCACACCAUGGGAGUGGACUGCACCAGAAGUGGUUAGCCUAACGCAAGAGGGCGAUCACCACGGUGUGGUUCAUGACUGGGGUGAAGUCGUAACAAGGUAGCCGUAGGGGAACCUGCGGCUGGAUCACCUCCU